UACAGAGGUCCCAAGCGUUGUUCGGAAUUACUGGGCGUAAAGCGCACGUAGGCGGCUUUGUAAGUUAGAGGUGAAAGCCCGGAGCUCAACUCCGGAAUUGCCUUUAAGACUGCAUCGCUUGAAUCCAGGAGAGGUGAGUGGAAUUCCGAGUGUAGAGGUGAAAUUCGUAGAUAUUCGGAAGAACACCAGUGGCGAAGGCGGCUCACUGGACUGGUAUUGACGCUGAGGUGCGAAAGCGUGGGGAGCAAACAGG
rnacentral:rRNA from 1 species